ensembl:misc_RNA
UUGAGGAAGAGGUGGGGGUGGCAGGCUUCACCAGCCUUAGCAUUCUUUUCCCCCCUGGGGCAGCAUUUCCAAUUAUGCCUCUCUGUCAUCAACACCUCUUCAUGUCUGGGCUCAUCACCCUUCCAGACCAGUUCCCACACGGCUGAGUCACCAGAGAAAGCAGGACCCCACACCAAGAUGAUAUUCUCAACCAUGCUCAACA